UUGAUUUUUUAUUUGUAAAAAAGGGCUUUUUAUGUAAGUCUUUAAAUCUAAUUAACUGCCGCUGUCUCUACCCAGGGUGCAGUUGCAGCACAAAAAGUGAACAGUUCAACGUCACUGCCUCUUAAUGAAAGCCGCUUCCUGUUGCUCUUGAGUACGCUGGAAGAACUGAUCCCUUUACUUUAUCUGACUGUCAUAGAAACAUGUCCGUCCUCAUCAACUCCCACGGAGCAGAUUCAUGUGGACUUAUCUCGAUAUCCUCGAGCAACCUCGCCUCUGAAUGACCUCCUGGUCAUGUGUGGAGGUGAGCACGCCUUAGUGAAAUUAGCCUCUCACUUUGAAAGUCACAUUGAUCAAGAAUGGUUUGAGCCCUGGGAGGAGAUCAAUUGGAUUGUGAAUAAUUUGUUGCCCCGUAUACUUGAGGUCACCUCAACCGUUGGCCUGUCUAUGCAGAAAGUUGUACAUUCCUUAAGCCAGUUUAUGUUUCGUUUGAGUAGAACAUUUGGACGAACAUUCACAGAGAA
rnacentral:sRNA from 1 species